rnacentral:rRNA from 1 species
UUAAAAAGCUCGUAGUUGGAUUUCGGGUGGGUUCUAGCGGUCCGCCUUUGGUGAGUACUGCUAUGGCCUUCCUUUCUGUCGGGGACGGGCUUCUGGGCUUCACUGUCCGGGACUCGGAGUCGACGUGGUUACUUUGAGUAAAUUAGAGUGUUCAAAGCAGGCUUACGCCCUGAAUACUUUAGCAUGGAAUAACACGAUAGGACUCUGGCCUAUCUUGUUGGUCUGUAGGACCGGAGUAAUGAUUAAGAGGGACAGUCGGGGGCAUUCGUAUUUCAUUGUCAGAGGUGAAAUUCUUGGAUUUAUGAAAGACGAACUACUGCGAAAGCWUUUGCCAAGGAUGUUUUCAUUAAUCAAGAACGAAAGUUGGGGGCUCGAAGACGAUUAGAUACCGU